GACGAACGCUGGCGGCGUGCUUAACACAUGCAAGUCGUACGGUAAGGCCCUUCGGGGUACACGAGUGGCGAACGGGUGAGUAACACGUGGGUGAUCUGCCCUGCACUUCGGGAUAAGCCUGGGAAGCUGGGUCUAAUACCGGAUAGGACCACUGCCUGCAUGGGUGGUGGUGGAAAGCCUUUGCGGUGUGGGAUGGGCCCGCGGCCUAUCAGCUUGUUGGUGGGGUGAUGGCCUACCAAGGCGACGACGGGUAGCCGGCCUGAGAGGGUGACCGGCCACACUGGGACAGAGAUACGGCCCAGACUCCUACGGGAGGCAGCAGUGGGGAAUAUUGCACAAUGGGCGCAAGCCUGAUGCAGCGACGCCGCGUGAGGGAUGACGGCCUUCGGGUUGUAAACCUCUUUCAGCUAUGACGAAGCGCAAGUGACGGUAGUAGCAGAAGAAGGACCGGCCAACUACGUGCCAGCCGCCGCGGUAA
rnacentral:rRNA from 1 species